rnacentral:lncRNA from 1 species
AUGCAGCCCCAGGUGGCCAAGCGGGGCAGUGGGGAAGGGGACAAGGGCAGGACGUGGGCAGGAUGGGGCUGUACCAUGGUCCAGCAUCACCACGGGGCAGGGACAGCCCCCAGGGCUUGUUGUGGGAUCGUGGAAGGUCCUCUAAGGGCUGAUCAACCCCGAGGGCAGCUGUGGGGAAGGUGGAGCCGCAGGAGCCCAAUCAUGCAGCAACCGCCCCCUAAUAAAAUCCAGAGGGGGAAGAGGAGCUGGUUUUGGAGGGUGCAGGUCUCUUGGGGGCAGAGCUUUGGCACUGGCUCAUCUUUGAUUUUUUUUUUUUAUUUUUGUAUUUAUUUAUUUAUUUCUUUUUGUGAGGAGGAGGCUGGAGCUGUGAAGAUGAGAGGGCUUUCCUGGGAUGCUGAGCUGAACCAAGAAAUAGCGAAGACAGAGUUUAGCAAUAACAAUGCCUGCUGGAACCAGAGUGACUGACAACAGCCUCUCCUGGUGAGAGACACGAGCGCGGCGUUUCAGACAAGAGGCGGCAUUUCCAUUCCUCCCAGAACCGCAACCUGUAUUUUGCAAGUUAAAUUGCUCCGAUCUGAUUGAAAUCCACCCGGCUAUGAGCUUUCUAUUUAGUGACACACUGCUCCAAAUUACACACCUGAUACAUUUGAAAUUUCUAAAUUACUCACGUAUUAGAAGUUAAUACCUGAGAAGGGCAAACACUCAGCGUGCUGACGGAUCGAGAGUUCGCUGCCGCCCCCUUCGAUAAUUAAGAACUUUGUGUAUUAGCGGUAAAGGGGAGGGCAGCAAAGUGUUGAGCGACGCUUUACCCUCCGUGGCAGUUUGAGGUUGCAAAGACCAAGGAGAGUGGGGAAGGAAAACUGCUUUUCAGAUCAUCUGGGCUUUUGUAACGUGGGGGAUGCGUGGCGGAGAGCCCCCAUCCAUCUGCGCUGGGGAGAGCCUGGGGGUCUCUUCCCAUCCUCCUCGUGCAAUGCGGCAUCCCAAGCUCGCCAAGGCGACAGAAGGCAAGAUUAAUCAGGAGGAAGGCUUGUUGGACCUGUGCUGGAAAGCAGACAGGAGGCUCAGUAUGCAUCCUGCAAACUGAAUCAUAACCACUUGCUCUGUAUUCUUCUCUCCCAUGAUAUUCACCAGCUGGGGUAGAUCUACCCCAAGGCAGGGCACGCAGCUCCUCCUUGUGUCCCCCUGCAGGAUCCUACGUCUAAGCAGAUGCAGAUCCCUGCUUCCCACCUGUUUGCCUUCAAGCUCUUGGGUUUCUGGUGCCACCAGUGCUCCAGCAGGUACAACCAGGGGUGCCUGUGGAGCUGCAGUGAGCUGGGCACAAGCAGGUCUCGAAGGCUCUGUGCACUCUGCUUCUGUCCCUGGGCUUCCAGGCACUGCCUGGGGCCCCUCAUGUGUCCCCCCUGCUCCUCCUGGCUGCUCUGCGUCACCUAUGGAGAGGGAAAUGCCCGCUGAUAGGUAGCAAUAAAUGUGUCUCCGCUCCUGCUUGUACA